rnacentral:lncRNA from 1 species
UGGUUCGUACUGGUGAGAGGUAACCUCAUUGUUCCUUUUAUAAGAUGGGAGAAGAACCAAAUCCAUUUAACCAAACAUGUGGAUAGGUCGAUGACUUCGUGCGGCCGCGGUAGAGCAUGCCAAGAAAGGAGAUGGCUGGAGGCGUCCUUCCAUGUUGCACAGUCGAGCGUGCUCUAUUCACAAAUAGCAUUGUUUUUCACACGCAUCGUUGUAUGCAAACAUAGUUUACAUUCAAGUGAGUUUGUUGAAUUUGCAACUUUAUGCCAUUAUAUUACGAUAAUGUAUCUGAAGAUCGAUUAGGAGUAUAAAUUAUAUGUUUACAAGAAUGUGACAAUAGUACAACCUCAUCAGACAAUAUAAGGUGGGUAGCAGUUGAGCCAUUCAUUUGUUAGGGACUGCUAUUUUCCCUUAUGUGUACCGUCAGACAGAACAGAAGAUUCGUUUCAUUCCCUUUUUGAUGUCUUUCCAUAUUUCUAUGUUUCAUUGUAUGUAAAAACGAAAGGAAG